rnacentral:rRNA from 1 species
CCUACGGGAGGCUGCAGUGAGGAAUAUUGGUCAAUGGGCGCGAGCCUGAACCAGCCAAGUAGCGUGAAGGAUGACUGCCCUACGGGUUGUAAACUUCUUUUAUAAAGGAAUAAAGUGAGGCACGUGUGCCUUUUUGUAUGUACUUUAUGAAUAAGGAUCGGCUAACUCCGUGCCAGCAGCCGCGGUAAUACGGAGGAUCCGAGCGUUAUCCGGAUUUAUUGGGGUUAAAGGGAGCGUAGAUGGGUUGUUAAGUCAGUUGUGAAAGUUUGCGGCUCAACCGUAAAAUUGCAAUUGAUACUGGCAGUCUUGAGUACAGGUGAGGUAGGCGGAAUGCGUGGUGUAGCGGUGAAAUGCGUAGAUAUCACGAAGAACUCCGAUGGCGAAGGCAGCUUACUAAA